rnacentral:rRNA from 1 species
UGGGGAAUUUUGGACAAUGGGCGCAAGCCUGAUCCAGCCAUGCCGCGUGAGUGAAGAAGGCCUUCGGGUUGUAAAGCUCUUUCGGAAGGGAAGAAAAGGCGGGCUCUAACAUAGCCUGUCGAUGACGGUACCGUAAGAAGAAGCACCGGCUAACUACGUGCCAGCAGCCGCGGUAAUACGUAGGGUGCGAGCGUUAAUCGGAAUUACUGGGCGUAAAGCGUGCGCAGGCGGUUUUGUAAGACAGAUGUGAAACCCCCGGGCUUAACCUGGGAACUGCGUUUGUGACUGCAAGGCUUGAGUACGGCAGAGGGGGGUGGAAUUCCACGUGUAGCAGUGAAAUGCGUAGAGAUGUGGAGGAACACCGAUGGCGAAGGCAGCCCCCUGGGCCUGUACUGACGCUCAUGCACGAAAGCGUGGGGAGCAAACA